rnacentral:siRNA from 1 species
GUCGUAAGUCAGCCGCAACAUACC